CCUACGGGAGGCUGCAGUGGGGGAUAUUGCACAAUGGGGGGAACCCUGAUGCAGCGACGCCGCGUGGGUGAAGAAGCGCCUCGGCGCGUAAAGCCCUGUCAGCAGGGAAGAAAAUGACGGUACCUGAAGAAGAAGCCCCGGCUAACUACGUGCCAGCAGCCGCGGUAAUACGUAGGGGGCAAGCGUUAUCCGGAUUUACUGGGUGUUAAGGGGGCGCAGACGGCGUGGCAGGCCAGUAGUGAAAGCCCGGGGCGCAACCCCGGGACUGCUGUUGGAACUGCGUGGCUGGAGUGCAGGAGGGGCAGGCGGAAUUCCUGGUGUAGCGGUGAAAUGCGUAGAGAUCAGGAAGAACACCGGUGGCGAAGGCGGCCUGCUGGACUGCAACUGACGUUGAGGCCCGAAAGCGUGGGGAGCAAACAGGAUUAGAUACCCGUGUAGUC
rnacentral:rRNA from 1 species